rnacentral:lncRNA from 1 species
AUGUCAUCACAUUUGAAUUGCAGAGCUGUGUACCUCUCCAGGUCUGCAUUUCACCUCAGCUUCAAUCCACAGGACCACAGACUGAAUCUGUUCCUGGUUAGUUCCUCUCUGCCCUAUCCCAGAGGGAAUGAGGAACUUCUGUUGGGUAAAGGAGAGAAGACACUGGCAACUGUGGAACCUAAUAUUAGGGUGCCAUUUGGAGCACCCAUUUUCAGUGCAGCAGUGAUCUCGAUGGCAUCAACAUCUGCCUUAUCUCAGCAUCCCAGCAGCAAAUCAAGUCCAUUGCAAAAUGAAGAACAAAAAUGGAUGGUGCAGGACACAGAACAGAGCGAUGCUGAUGCUGAGCAGGAAGAAAUAUCACCUUAUUCCCUGCUCACUGUAAGAGUCAUAAAGAUGACAAAUGCUCAUCAGGCAGACUUAUAGCAAGGUCUAUUCUUUAUCUGUGGUACUCCAAAAUACAGUAGUUUCAGUGCAUUUGCCAAAGCCUUCAGAGGAGAUGGCUGUAUUACUGCAUGUCAAGGACUCCCAGAUUAUCCUAAUUUCCUGAAUUUAGAAACUCUAUAUCUACAAUAGUCACAAUCUUCUGAAAGAGAUGAGGUGCCCAUGCUGCACCAGGUGUCUUUGCUCCACAUUACUUUGGCCUGGAAACCCUACCAGCCUUUGCUUCAGAAGACUCCACUGGAUCAGACUGCUCAGUACAGACUAUGCAGGCAGAAUCCUGGUGUUAAUCCAGGUCUAAGGGCCCUCCUACCUAACAAGCAGGUCAUAGACAGAUUUUCAGGAAGGCUAAGGACUUGGCAUGGUACCUUCUUGUUUUUCUCCAAGUGCUAUAUGACUUCUAUUGGAUAGUUCAGAGAUGGCAACACUUUAAUCCCAAAUAUUCCCACUUGUUUUUAACUUCAUCUUCAAUGGAAUGAUAUUCUACAAAGACUUAUCGCUUCCUCUGUAUGUUUCACUCACUUUGGAGUUUUAAGAACACAGAUGUCACCACUGACAAUUACCUAUCCUAAUGGAGAGAAGUAUGGGUUCAUAUGGUCUGUAAUACUGGAUUGCAGAAAAAUCAGAGGACAUGAUUUUUCUCUCAUUGCAAGUGCAGUCAUGCCAGGCCACUAGAGUUUUUAUAAUUUUCUUUGACUUGCUGUAUCUUUGCUUCAGGGAAUGCUACUUCUCAUGUACUUCCAUUGAUGUUCCUUACUAUUGCGUAUACCCAGCUUGAUCCUAGGUGUUUUUUAAAUGUGCAUCUUGAGACCUGUGGGAUGUGUGGGAGGGAGUCUUGUCUUAUCUUGAGAUCUGGUGCUACGCCUUUGCCUGUAGACAGUACAUGCUCGUGGUUCGGGGCAACCAUUGUAUCUGUUUAAACACAGAGACAACACUAAAGCAAAAAGAAAGCACCCCACUCCUACUCAAUGGACCAGUUAACCCU